CAGGACAGUGAUAGGAUCACAUGGCUUUUGGGGAUCAUUAUGAUAGUGGAGAGCCCAGCCACUGAGGGAGGAAUUUACUAAGCAUAUACAGAGAGAUUCAAAGGCAGGGUGUAGCUGGACGGACAGACUGGAGCGUUCACUAUCAAGUCCGUCAUUUCUGAAAAUAGAUGUGUACGUAUACGAUAAAUCCUUAAGAAUGGAAUCACGUCCACUUGGAAUUUCAACUGUUCUGUGUAUACUCAAGUAAGCUCUCCCACCAUCAGAAGGGGAAAUUCUCAAAACUUGGCUCAGCGUGUAGUGGUGUGUUCUGUGGAGAAUGGGAGAGAGGUGAUUCUGUCCUGGUACAGAGGAAUUGACCAUGCUUAACCAGACCAGCAGUCCAGAUACCAAUACGGACCCUUCUGUCUCUCUGGUGACAGAACAUGAAGAUAAUAGCACCUACUAUUGCUCAGCCUCGAAUCCAGUCAGCAAUAGUUCAAUCCAACUUAACAUUUCUGAGGUCUGUGUCCAAGAAAUUGCUGCAGAUUCUACUACAUCCCUGCAAAUAUUUGGAGUGCUAUGCCUGAUUGUACUGGUGGGUCUCCUCAUGGUGGUACUAUAUUGCACAUACAAGAGACUAACAGUAAUCAAAUUUGAAGGCAAGUGAAAAAAUCUUGUGUAUAUUAACUUAAAAAAUACACAAAAUAAAUAUAGUUUUAUUGAAAUUUCAUUUUGAUAAUCUGAAUAAACAAAUAACUUACAUGUAUAUUUGUUCAUUUUCCCAUUUCUUCAUUUAGCUGAGCACAGCGUUGAGGAGAUAAACUAUGCUGAUGUCAGCAUUCAAGGAAAUGCAUCAACACCCCAUGUGCGAGUAAGUGUAUAGCUACAAAGAAGCAGUUAGAUUUCUGUACUGUAUAUUUAAAAUACUUUCACAUGCAUAUGCAAUGCAAUAUUUC